rnacentral:lncRNA from 1 species
GAAGGUAGCUGCUGGUGUAAGUAUGUUUAUUGAUAUGAACGAAGCGUUGUUUUACUAUACAUGUACUUAUUUACAUGGUAAGAUGACAAAAUGAAUUGACCAAGAGCAGACAAUUCUUAAAUUGCAGUGAAAGCUUUACAUUCUUGAAAACAUUUUUUUAAUUUCACAUAAAACCUAAAACUAUCACAAACAGUUGGAUCCACCUCCCACAUCUUUGGUUGAAAC